AUGGGAGCUUGCUCCCUGAUGUUAGCGGCGGACGGGUGAGUAACACGUGGGUAACCUGCCUGUAAGACUGGGAUAACUCCGGGAAACCGGGGCUAAUACCGGAUGCUUGUUUGAACCGCAUGGUUCAAACAUAAAAGGUGGCUUCGGCUACCACUUACAGAUGGACCCGCGGCGCAUUAGCUAGUUGGUGAGGUAAUGGCUCACCAAGGCAACGAUGCGUAGCCGACCUGAGAGGGUGAUCGGCCACACUGGGACUGAGACACGGCCCAGACUCCUACGGGAGGCAGCAGUAGGGAAUCUUCCGCAAUGGACGAAAGUCUGACGGAGCAACGCCGCGUGAGUGAUGAAGGUUUUCGGAUCGUAAAGCUCUGUUGUUAGGGAAGAACAAGUGCCGUUCAAAUAGGGCGGCACCUUGACGGUACCUAACCAGAAAGCCACGGCUAACUACGUGCCAGCAGCC
rnacentral:rRNA from 1 species